CGAAAGAUUUUAUGGAAUUGAUCAUGAUUCAUGAAAUAGGUCAAUUUAAACACAUGUACACAUGUAUAUACUUAUGUCCUUUGAUAACAAUUGUCUAUUAAUUACAUACAUACACUUAUGGACAAUGGACAUGUACCUGCAAGCGUACAUUUCUUAACAUUGGAAUUAGCAUAAUUUUUUUCAAUUAACACUGAAAAUGCUCAAUUCUGCUAUUUUUCGGUCCCCUGAUGUUAAUUGUGGCGAAACAAGCCAAUAAUUUUCUGUGGUGAAACACGCUCAUCGUUUUCAGUUCCCCUGCGAAAAGUGAAAUAUUUUGAUAAUGGCCACACUGUGAACCUUCUCUAUAAUCUACAUUCUCUGAUAGAGCAUUGGAAGUGUAAAAAGUGCAAUAAAAUUAUAUGAAAACUUAAAUUAAAUAAACUCAUUAUGAAUCUGAAAAUGCAACCCUGCAUCAGCUGACGACUAGGGACAUUAAAGCAGUUCAGCUAUAUGUUUUCUGUAAAAAAAUUAGAAUUUAUACGUUUGAAAUGAAUAUGUCACAUUAAUUUUAAUCUCUAUUUUCUCAUCAGUUUUAAGUUUUGCCCAUAAACUUUACUUGAAGUUAUAUUUCGAGUAAUAAUAAAAGUUUUUGUUAUCUAUGGUGAAAGUUAUAUCAUCUGUUAUAAAUAUAACACUGGCUUACUUGUACAAAAAAAAUGUUUGGUUUGGAGCAGCUCUGUCCACAUCUAUAGUCGGCAACAGGAAUGGGAAGAUAGAGAUGAGUUGAGAAAGGCAAACUCGUUGUACGAAAACAACUUUAGAGUAUAUUCAAAAUCCAAUUUUUUUGCUUUUUUUCAACUUCAGUCAAUAUUAAAUAAAUUAAAAAAUUUUGACAACAUAUAUAUGAAUAAACGAAUUUAAAAGAACCGCUGCAUACAUAAUAAGUAUGUUAUAAAAUAUGUUACUAAUUCGUAAUUAUUCAUUUGUUUAAGUUAUUAUUUAUUCCAUUCAAUAAAGAAGUUAUACUCUAAAUAACGAAAGUUCUUGGCUCGUUUUGUAUUUUUCUUAUUUUGCAGAAAUAUUGCAAACAAAAAUUAAGGUCAAAGAAUUAAGUAAAAAUAAUAGUUUUGUAGUUGAUUAAAAGAUCUCGAUGUAAUUGUAUUUAUAUAUAUAUGAAGAUAUUAUUGUGAUCGUACAUAUGUGGACCGACUUGUAGCGUCUUAGUAGCCUAGCACGUUGCCUACAUUCUCAAUUAUUGUAAUAAGAAAUCUUUAAAUUAUUUUAGCACGCAAAGUAUUUUCUUUUCAUUUAAUUAAUUUUACGUACUUAUUGAUGUAUAAUUUCCGAAUAAAUUAAUAUGUUAAAAAAUGUGUA